ACGCAUUUAUUAGAUAAAAAGCCAAUGCAUGCUUUUACAGUAUGGAAAUUGGUGAUUUAUAAUAACUUGGCAAAUCGCAAAGUGAAAACAGGCGAUAAAUCAUUCAAGUUUCUGACCUAUCAGCUUUCGACGGUAUGGUAUUGGCUUACCGUGGCAGUGACGGUUAACGGGGGAUUAGGGUUCGAUUCCGGAGAGGGAGCCUGAGAAACGGCUACCACAUCUAAGGAAGGCAGCAGGCGCGCAAAUUACCCAAUUCUAACAGUUUGAGAGAGGUAGUAACAAGAAAUAACAAUACAAGGCAAUUAAAAUGCUUUGUAAUUGGAAUGAUAGAAAUUUAAACCCUUUUUAAAGUAUCAAUUGGAGGGCAAGUCUGGUGCCAGCAGCCGCGGUAAUUCCAGCUCCAAUAGCGUAUAUUAAAAUUGUUGCAGUUAAAAAGCUCGUAGUUGAAGUUCUGCUAAAAGUAACCGGUCUGCUUUUAAUAAAAGUGGUAUCUUGGUGUGUAUUUAGCAAUGAUGUCCUU
rnacentral:rRNA from 1 species